UUCCUGGACGCACCCUGUUCUUUUUAAUAAAAAAUAUACAAUAUAUUCCAUCGAUUAUUUUGAAAAUUGAGGGGUAAACCUAUUUAAUGUAGAUGUUUCGAAUCCCAUCCGUCUCAGUUUAUAUUUUUAUCUCAUUAAAAGUGGCGUCUUCUUGAAUAUUUUAUUUUUAAUCUAAAAGUACGCUACUUUUCACCUCGGUUUUCUUUCCAACCGAGGUGAAUAUGUUUCUCUGAUAUAUAUAGCUUUAGCUUGUAGGCUCCAAUUUUCAUUUGUCUAAACAACAAAAGUAGAAUCCUAACGAAGAGGCAUAAACACAUAUCACCUUAAAUACGAAGAUGUUAUGUGUUUAGUGCUCUCGUUUCUUCUUCAAAUAUCCAGAUCAUUUUCUUUUACUUCUUCUUUAGAGAUCUGGCAUUACGUGCCUCGAGUAAGAUGGUCUGUAAGGUGGCGAUACAUGACUACCUUCCGCAAUAUCUCCUCUCUCAAUGGCAUUUAUCACAACAUGUGUAAUACACUAACAACCAGCAACAGGUCUGCUGUGCGGUCAUCCUUAGCUCUCUCUUAUUCCAAUAUCUCUUGAUGGGCAGGUCUUGGUGGUGUUCUCACGGUAUCUAGUAUCAUGUAAGGAUGUGACACUCGAUAGAACCAUUGUAUGUAGCACUGUUCAUAAGCACAUGGUUCAUUUGAUGGAACACUGCAUGCCUCAUCUGUAAGGGUGGACUCAGUUCGUUUUGGACCAGUUUUCGAUAAAAAAAAAGUUUGAACCGAUAAUACAUCGGUUUGAUUUA